rnacentral:rRNA from 1 species
GACAGAGGGGGCAAGCGUUGCUCGGAAUCACUGGGCGUAAAGGGCGCGUAGGCGGGAUGGCAAGUCGGUCGUGAAAUCCUUCGGCUCAACCGAAGAACGUCGGCCGAUACUGCCGUUCUUGAGGGAUGCAGAGGAGAUUGGAAUUCCCGGUGUAGCGGUGAAAUGUGUAGAGAUCGGGAGGAACACCGGUGGCGAAGGCGGGUCUCUGGGCAUCUCCUGACGCUGAAAGACGAAAGCCAGGGGAGCAAACGGG